AUGGCUCAGGACGAACGCUGGCGGCGUGCCUAACACAUGCAAGUCGAGCGAGGAGAUCCUUCGGGAUGAUCCUAGCGGCGGACGGGUGAGUAACACGUGGGCAACCUGCCUCAUAGAGAGGAAUAGCCUUCCGAAAGGGAGAUUAAUACCUCAUAACAUUGCAGUUUCGCAUGGAACAGCAAUUAAAGGAGCAAUCCGCUAUGAGAUGGGCCCGCGGCGCAUUAGCUAGUUGGUGAGGUAACGGCUCACCAAGGCGACGAUGCGUAGCCGACCUGAGAGGGUGAUCGGCCACAUUGGGACUGAGACACGGCCCAGACUCCUACGGGAGGCAGCAGGUGGGGAAUAUUGCACAAUGGGGGAAACCCUGAUGCAAGCAACGCCGCGUGAGUGAUGACGGCCUUCGGGUUGUAAAGCUCUGUCUUCAGGGACGAUAAUGACGGUACCUGAGGAGGAAGCCACGGCUAACUACGUGCCAGCAGCGGC
rnacentral:rRNA from 1 species